rnacentral:misc_RNA from 1 species
CUCAAGCAAGCAACGGCGUACAAUAUCACACUUCAAAAAAUACAAAAAUAAUAAAUUUAUAAAACAUAAAUAUUCCCAAAAUUAAAAAAAAAAUCUCAACGCCAAGAGCUUCACGCUAGCUCUUUCCCCUCCUCCGCCACCAUCGCCGAGAGCUUCUUUAACCCAUAAGUAGCCAACUGCAUGUCCAUGACUCUCAUGUUUCAGAAAUGACCCGAACCCGGUUCUUUCGGAGCCGGACCGCCGAACCCGACGAGGACACUAUACCAACCACUUAUCGCAGUGGUGGAGGAGGAACCGCCAUGAGAAUUAUAGUACCGCUACAAGGCGUGGUUCAAGGCAGAGGUGGCCUUUUCUUAGGCUCAGUGAUACCUUGUGCUCUUUUCUACUUCUUUCAGCUUUAUUUAAAACGCAACCGUAAUGACCAGGCUGACUCAGAUGAUUCGAAUUCCCAGAAUCAGGCGCCACCAUCUCGGUCGGGAUCAGAGGGGCAGCUGAACGAACUUUCUGUGUUUACUCGGUCUACUUCUCGGAAUCUCGUCUCACCAAGAAGUCCUAGUGGAAGGGCUUAUGUGUCGAGUAGGGCCAAUGGGAUAGUGAAGAGUGGCGAUUCGCCUUACUUCGUUGGAUUGAGGAAGGUUAUCGAGGACCCUUAUGACGAGUCGGCUAACCCGAAUGGGGUUAUUCAACUUGGUCUGGCCGAGAACAAGUUAACAUUGGAUUUGGUGGAGGAGUGGCUUGUUGAGAAUGCAAAGCCAGCAAUACUGGGUGGUGGAGGGGAGGAGUUGAAUAUCAGUGGGAUUGCUACUUACCAGCCUGUUGAUGGAUUAAUUGAGUUAAAAGUGGUAAUUACUAUUUCAUUUCACAAUUUUUUUUUAUUAACGGUAAUGUGUUUUUAAGAUUGUCUGCUUCAGUUGAUUUAUAACAGGAUGAAUUUUCCUGUGAAAAAUGUUCCAUGUAUAUUCACCGGAAUUUAGUAUAGAAUUUUUUUUCUUUAGUUGAUAUAUACUUUGUCAGGAGGGAAUUUGAUAGGUGUUGGAAAUUGGAAUGAAUUGAAUUGUUUCAGAGUCAUAUUUAGCUUGCAACUGAUCUUGUAGAAGAUCAAUUGAAGAUUUAACUGUUUACAUAGUUUCUCUUUGUAUUUUCUUAAUAACUAUAGUUUGUGAUACUUUUUAUGCCUUCAUAGUUAAUCAAAUUGUUUAUGGUGGUAUGGCACAAUAGGACGCUAAAUCCUAACCAGUUAUCAUGUCUUGUGCAAGCUCUCUAUCUGUAAACAUCAUUCUUCAGUUAUGACAAUUGGGAUGAAUCUUUGCAUAAAUGGUUAAUGGCACUACAUGGGGCAAUGAGAAGUCGACAAUUGAAGGCCAUAUGAAACUUAAAGGAAUUCUGCAUUCAAAAUUCAUGAACAAUGGAAACCACCCAUUGUUUAUGACUUGGGUAACUUGCUGCACGUUGUUAAAAAGAUGAAUCUUUGCUGAAUGAAAUGUGAUUUCGGGGGUAAAUUGUCCAGAAGAAUAAUGCUCUCCAUAAUUUAGUUGACCAUUUAGCCCAAGAUGAAUUAUCCAUUGAAUUGGAUAUAUGUGUUAAGCUUACCUUCUUGUAGACUACUCGUGUAACUUGACUUCUAAAUAUUCAUUGCUUUAUUUAUUGCUAAUAAUUUGCUUUGUUUACAGUUUAUGUGAAAUUGGAUGUUUCUCCCUCUCUCUCUCUUGUGCAUCUACUGGAUCACACAAACUGUGCAGUCAAACUACAAGUCUUGUGACUUCUAGUCUGCUACAGUUGGGAUCAUUGCUUUAAUAUCAGUUAUAAGUGUUGGUUGGGCAUUAAUCAAAUGAUUUAGGCAUUUAUGUAUAGAUAAAGCAUUAAGUUUUUAAAUUAUGGUUCUUUCACUUUAAUGGGCUUGGAAUGUUGCUUUCUUGCAUAUGAUCAGCAUCUGUUUGUAGUCUUUUCUAAUUGCUCUUGCCCUGCAGGCUGUGGCAGGAUUUAUGUCUCAAAUAAUGGAAAAUGCAGUUUCCUUCAAUCCCUCACAGAUAGUGUUGACAGCAGGUGCAACUCCUGCAAUUGAGACGCUUAUCUUCUGUUUAGCAGAUGCUGGAAAUGCAUUUCUUGUUCCAACACCAUAUUACCCAGGGUUUGAUAGGGAUGUAAAAUGGCGAACCGGGGUGGAGAUAGUUCCUGUUCCCUGUCGUAGUGCUGACAACUUCAGUUUAAGUAUAACAGCACUUGAUCGAGCAUUCAACCAAGCAAAGAAACGUGGUCUUAAAGUUCGUGGGGUAAUAAUUUCAAACCCCUCAAAUCCUGUGGGCAAUCUGCUUGACCGGGAAACACUCUAUAGCCUUCUGGACUUUGCCAGGGAGAAGAACAUCCAUAUAGUGUGUAAUGAAAUAUUUGCUGGGUCCACUCAUGGAAGUGAAGAGUUUGUUAGCAUGGCAGAACUCAUUGAUUUAGAAGAUUCAGACAGGGACAGAGUGCAUAUAGUAUAUGGUCUAUCAAAUGAUCUGUCUCUGCCAGGUUUCAGGGUGGGCGUUUUGUACUCCUCCAAUGAGAAUGUUCUGGCUGCUGCUAAGAAGUUGACAAGGUUCUCAUCCAUUUCAGCUCCAACCCAGCGUCUACUUAUCUCCAUGCUUUCAGAUACGAAAUUUGUUCAAAUUUUCAUUCGGAUUAAUAGGGAGAGGCUGCAAAAUAUGUAUGUUAAAUUUGCAUUGGGAUUGAAGCAACUGGGCAUAAAGUGCACGAAAGGCAGUGGAGGUUUCUACUGUUGGGCUGAUAUGAGUGAGUUAAUCAGCUCUUACAGUGAGAAGGGGGAGCUUGAGCUAUGGGAAAAAUUGUUGAAUACAGCUAAGCUCAAUUCAACUCCUGGAUCUUCCUGUCAUUGUAUUGAACCUGGAUGGUUCAGAUUCUGUUUUACCACAUUAACUGAAAGAGACAUUCCUGUUGUUAUGGACAGAAUUCAGAAAAUUGCUGAAACCUGUAAAUCUUGCAGCUGAAACGUUCAGUUAUUUGACAGUUAAAUUGCAUAUAGAUUUUUUGGAUGUAGAUAAAUUUGGUGCAGUAGCUUGUUUAAUAAUGGCAGUGGACAAUGUUAGUAUAUACAAGAUUCCUUAACAACGACAUAGAGUGGUAUUGCUUUUGCAAAUGAUUGAUGCUGAAAAUAUGAGCAAUGUUCAUAUUUCUUUCUCCUCUUAAUUUUGAAUGAUUCUUUC